rnacentral:lncRNA from 1 species
GACAGGAUAAAACUUUACUCAUGCCAAGUAUUUCUUUAUUUGAAACAAAGAUAAAUUCUGCACAAUUUUUUGAAAAGUGCAAAUUUAACAAAGACUAAUAGGGGAAAAUCAAUGGUGGUAUUACACCUAAUAUGGGAAGCUGUACAUGCACCUAUGGCCUUGUGAGUAAUCUCAUGUGUUAAAAUUUCUUGCUAUUUAAGUGAAAUAAUACAAAAAAUGAAAUAUUCUGAGUGGAUUGAGUCUCCAAAACACAUUUUAUGAGAAAAUUGUCUUGUAAUAGGACUGUACCAUGAAUAUUCAGUUGACAGAACAAGCCAUACUAAGUGCAUAUAUCUUUUUUUUUGGAGGGGGGUGGGCUUUUUCUCCUUAUUUCUUAUAUUUUGCUAUGAUAUAACAUUUUCCUAGGUAAUACUUAAAUAAAUAUAUAGUUAUAAGUAGAUGAAAUUAUUUUUAAUGUUGUAACGACAAGUUAUUCACUAAAAGAGAAGCCUUUUAUGUCCCUCUUUGGAACGCGGCGUAAAUUUAAUUUUUACGUAAGGACUUAUUGAAACCUUCAUGGAGACAGUAAACUUUUAUAUGGAUUGUUCAUUCUGCUAAAAUGCUUCAAUUACUCAUUUCUUAUAACAUUUCCACCAUAAAUGAUUGAAAG